rnacentral:snRNA from 1 species
GUGCUCACUUCGGCAGCACAUAUACUAAAAUUGGAGCAAUACAAAGAAGAUUAGCAUGGCCCCUGUGCAAGGAUGACACUCAAAUUCAUGAAGCAUUCCAUAUUUUA